GCGGGGAGGGGCGGGAGGGGCCGGGCAAGGGAACGGAACGGAAGGGGAGGGAAGCGGGAGAGGCGCUGGGUUCCCCGGGGCAGGAAGCGGCGGCCGGGGGCUCCGGGAAGGGCCCGGGUGAGGGGCGCCUCCGGGUCCCGGCAGCCAUGCCCUUGUCUCCCUCCCGGGCACGGAGCCGGGGCCCGGCGGGGCGGCGAAGCGCGGCGAGGGACCGGGACAGGGAGCGGCAGCACCGAGCCCAGCUCUGAGUGAUUUCAGCCCCAGCCCUACAGUUUUGAUUUCAACUCCAGCUCCAGGUUUGGUAUUUCAGCUCCAGCCCCACAGCAGUGAUUUCAGCCCUGGCCCUACAGUUUUUAUUUCAGCUCUGAGUGAUUUCAGCUCUGGCCGUACAGUAUUUAUUUCAGCUCUGGCCCUGAAGGAUUUCUUUCAGCUCCAGCCCCAGGUUCAGUAUUUCAGCUGUUAGAUUUCAGCUCCGGCCCUACAGUUUUUAGUCCAGCUCUGUUAGAUUUCAGCCCCAGCUGUACAGUUUUUAUUUCAGCUUCAGGUUUGGUAUUUCAGCUCCAGCUGCAGUCAUUCUUCAGCCCGAGCCCCACAUCAGACAUUUCAGCCCCGGCACUACAGUUUUUAUUCCAGCUCUGAGUGAUUUCAGCUCCAGGUUUGGUGUUUCAGCUCCAGCUGCAGUCGUUCUUCAGCUCCAGCUCUGUCACAUCUCAGCCGCAGCCCCACAGCAGUGAUUUCAGCUCCAACCCUGCCAUCCUGAUUUCAUCUCCCACCCUACAGUAGCUAUUGAACCCCAGGAUUUCCACUCCAGGCCUGUGCUGUUUCCCCUCCCACCCCCCCCCCACUCUUUAUUUCACCCCCCAGCCUCACAGACUUUCUUACGGCUCCAGCUCUGCGUUGUUUCAGCUUCAGCCCUGCAGUGUUUAGCUCAGCCUCAGCUCUACAUCUUCCUGUUGCCUCCGUGUUCUCACAGCAGCUCUGGGGGCUGUUGAUAAGGUAGUAAGUCAAUCACUGUCAUCACUCAACUAUCAAAACUGUCCCACUGUGUCUGUCCCCUGAAUAAAGUGUUCCUGUUGUGUGUGUCCCCAUUUCAGAGGGGAGUUUGGCCUGGUGCAUGCUGGCAUCCCAUGUUUCAGGGGCAAAUAAAACCAGACCCCCACCUCUGCUUGUUUUCAGGCCCAGAAACACAGCACUCUGGGGACUUUUGGAGCAGCUGAACCCCAGGACUGAGCUGGGCUGUUCAGCCCCAACCACAGAACUUCAUCCUCCUUUGGGGGGCUGGAAACACCCUUGAGGCUGCUGCUGUGGCCCAUGUGUGAAGGGAAAGGGGGGCCACAGCCCAGGGAGUGCUUGGGAACUGCAGGCACCCACCCAGACAGGGAAAGCUUUAUUGCACUUUAUUCCACUUGAUUUUUCAAUUAUCGUUAUGCAUUACACUUCUUGUAAUAAACCAACACAAUAGCUUUAUUAGCAGUACUAGUUACAGUAUUGUUUAAAAGCCAAGCACGCCCCCCUCCCCCCACCCCCCCACUCGCGGCAACAUCCGCGGGGAGCCGGGCCCGGGAACCCCCACGCAGCCCGGCCGCGCCCCGACCCCCCACCCGACCCCCGCUGGGGCUCGGCACCCGCCCCGUGUAGCGGCCGGCGCCCCUCCUCGCUCGGCGCCGCUCCGGCCGCCGCUGCCCGACACAAGCGGGGAAGAGCCAACAGAACGCGACCUGGCUGUCACGCCGGGCACGGACCCAAGCGGCACCCCC